rnacentral:rRNA from 1 species
UGUGAGAGCAAGAGCCCGGAGAUGGAUUCUGAGACAUGAAUCCAGGCCCUACGGGGCGCAGCAGGCGCGAAAACUUUACAAUGCAGGAAACUGUGAUAAGGGAACACCGAGUGCUCGCAUCAAAUGCGGGCUGUCCACAUACCUAAAUCGUAUGUGUUAGCAAGGGCCGGGCAAGACCGGUGCCAGCCGCCGCGGUAAUACCGGUGGCCCGAGUGGUAGCCGCUUUUAUUGGGUCUAAAGGGUCCGUAGCCUGUCUGAUCAGUCCAUUGGGAAAUCCGGAUGCUCAACAUCCGGGCUUCCAGUGGAUACUGUCAGACUUGGGAUCGGGGGAGGUAAGAGGUACUACAGGGGUAGGAGUGAAAUCUUGUAAUCCUUGUGGGACCACCUGUGGCGAAGGCGUCUUACCAAAACGAGUCCGACGGUGAGGGACGAAAGCUGGGGGCACGAACCGGAUUAGAUACCCGGGUAGUCCCAGCCGUAAACGAUGCUCGCUAGGUGUCAGGCAUGGCGUGACUGUGUCUGGUGCCGAAGGGAAGCCGUGAAGCGAGCCACCUGGGAAGUACGGCCGCAAGGCUGAAACUUAAAGGAAUUGGCGGGGGAG